GACGAACGCUGGCGGCGUGCUUAACACAUGCAAGUCGAACGGAAAGGCCCUGCUUUUGUGGGGUGCUCGAGUGGCGAACGGGUGAGUAACACGUGAGUAACCUGCCCUUGACUUUGGGAUAACUUCAGGAAACUGGGGCUAAUACCGGAUAGGAGCUCCUGCUGCAUGGUGGGGGUUGGAAAGUUUCGGCGGUUGGGGAUGGACCCGCGGCCUAUCAGCUUGUUGGUGGGGUAGUGGCUUACCAAGGCUUUGACGGGUAGCCGGCCUGAGAGGGUGACCGGCCACAUUGGGACUGAGAUACGGCCCAGACUCCUACGGGAGGCAGCAGUGGGGAAUGUUACACAGUGGGCGGAAGCCUGAUGCAGCAACGCCGCGUGCGGGAAGACGGCCUUGGGGUUGUAAACCGCUUUCGUCUGUGACGAAGCGUGAGUGACGGUAAUGGGUAAAGAAGCACCGGCUAACUACGUG
rnacentral:rRNA from 1 species